CCUACGGGUGGCUGCAGUGGGGAAUAUUGUGCAAUGGGCGAAAGCCUGACGCAGCGACGCCGCGUGAGGGAUGAAGGUCCUCGGAUCGUAAACCUCUGUCAGCAGGGAAGAACGGUCACUGUGCUAAUCAGCAGUGAAUUGACGGUACCUGCAAAGGAAGCACCGGCUAACUCCGUGCCAGCAGCCGCGGUAAUACGGAGGAUGCGAGCGUUAAUCGGAAUUACUGGGCGUAAAGCGCGCGUAGGUGGUAUGUCAAGUCAAGGGUGAAAGCCCCGGGCUCAACGUGGGAACUGCCUUUGAAACUGGCAGACUGGAGUGUGGGAGAGGAUAGUGGAAUUCCAGGUGUAGGAGUGAAAUGCGUAGAUAUCUGGAGGAACAUCAGUGGCGAAGGCGACUAUCUGGCACAUAACUGACGCUGAGGAGCGAAAGCGUGGGUAGCAAACAGGAUUAGAUACCCCAGUAGUC
rnacentral:rRNA from 1 species